rnacentral:rRNA from 1 species
GCUGGAAUUGCUAGUAAUGGCAGGUCAGCAUACUGCCGUGAAUACGUUCCCGGGCCUUGUACACACCGCCCGUCACACCAUGAGAGUUGGGAAUACCCGAAGCCUGUGAGCUAACUUAUAGAGGCAGCAGUCGAAGGUAGAAUCAAUGAUUGGGGGUGAAGUCGUAACAAGGUAUC